CCUACGGGCGGCUGCAGUGGGGGAUAUUGCACAAUGGGGGAAACCCUGAUGCAGCGACGCCGCGUGGGUGAAGAAGUAUUUCGGUAUGUAAAGCCCUAUCAGCAGGGAAGAAAGAAGACGGUACCUGACUAAGAAGCCCCGGCUAACUACGUGCCAGCAGCCGCGGUAAUACGUAGGGGGCGAGCGUUAUCCGGAUUCACUGGGUGUAAAGGGAGCGUAGACGGCCGUGCAAGCCAGGAGUGAAAGCCCGGGGCCCAACCCCGGGACUGCGCUUGGAACUGUGCGGCUGGAGUGCGGGAGGGGCAGGCGGAAUUCCUGGUGUAGCGGUGAAAUGCGUAGAUAUCAGGAGGAACACCGGCGGCGAAGGCGGCCUGCUGGACCGCGACUGACGUUGAGGCUCGAAAGCGUGGGGAGCGAACAGGAUUAGAUACCCUUGUAGUC
rnacentral:rRNA from 1 species